rnacentral:rRNA from 1 species
UGGGGAAUAUUGCACAAUGGGCGCAAGCCUGAUGCAGCCAUGCCGCGUGUAUGAAGAAGGCCUUCGGGUUGUAAAGUACUUUCAGCGGGGAGGAAGGGAGUAAAGUUAAUACCUUUACUCAUUGACGUUACCCGCAGAAGAAGCACCGGCUAACUCCGUGCCAGCAGCCGCGGUAAUACGGAGGGUGCAAGCGUUAAUCGGAAUUACUGGGCGUAAAGCGCACGCAGGCGGUUUGUUAAGUCAGAUGUGAAAUCCCCGGGCUCAACCUGGGAACUGCAUCUGAUACUGGCAAGCGUGAGUCUCGUAGAGGGGGGUAGAAUUCCAGGUGUAGCGGUGAAAUGCGUAGAGAUCUGGAGGAAUACCGGUGGCGAAGGCGGCCCCCUGGACGAAGACUGACGCUCAGGUGCGAAAGCGUGGGGAGCAAACAGG